rnacentral:lncRNA from 1 species
AGGUCUCGGGGCUGGUAGUAGCGCUGCCUGCAAACCAGCACCAAGGCUGCAAACGAAGCCAGAAAGAUGGUGGCCAGCACACCUAUGGCAACUAUCACCACGGUCUCCAUGCUUCCGGGGAGCUCCUGACUCAGUCCCGUUCACAUCGUCCUCAUGGGCUAAGGCUGCUGGAAGUGGCAAACUGGGGGAAGAGGAUGGCAGGAGCUAGGUUCCUCCACGACACCUCCAGAGACCUGAGGGCCUCAAGCUGCAGCUCCGGGGCACAUCCCGCUGCGCUCCCACGACGGCCCCGCGGAUGGCAAAGUCAGCGGCAUCGCCUAUGCAGGCAAUCAAAGGAUGUUGAUGGAUAAGUGUUUCAGGCAGAAUAAUGGCCCUCAAAGAUGUUGACACCAGAAUCUUCAGAACCUUUGCAUAUGUUACCUAACAUGACAAAAGGGACUUUGCUGAUGUGAUUAAGGUUAAGAACUUUGAGAAGGGAAGAUUAUCCUGGAUUAUACAGGUCGACGUUUAUUUCUUUCUGAACUUUCCUGGAGGAUCAUCGGCCAUACUCCAGCAGAAGGGUGGAUUUGAAAAAAUAACGUUUCCACGGCAACAGUGGCAGCAAUUCAAAGGAAGACGUUGGAGAAUUCACAUGCUAUUUUAGCUGGCUCUGUGAUUGCAAUCACACAAAUCAUUACAUUCCAGCGAGAUCCCAUCAACAGAAGGUUUUUCCAUUUCAGUCUGUCAAGUGUUCAAAUUCUAUCUUCAGCAUAGUGAGCCCAAACAAAACCAAUUCCUUUCAUGCCCUCUACUGGAUAUUUGAAGUUAAACGUCAAUAACACUGCAAAGUAACCAAAAUAAUGAUACACAUAAUAUCCAGAAUGUUCUUUUAUAGCCUCUUUAAAUAAAAAUUCGUUUACAUUGGU